UCCGGUUUGUCACCGGCAGUCUCAUUAGAGUGCCCUUGCGUAGCAACUAAUGAUAAGGGUUGCGCUCGUUGCGGGACUUAACCCAACAUCUCACGACACGAGCUGACGACGGCCAUGCAGCACCUGUGUCCAGGUUCCCUUGCGGGCACAACCGCCUUUCAGCAGCCUUCCGGACAUGUCAAGGGUAGGUAAGGUUAUUCGCGUUGCAUCGAAUUAAUCCACAUCAUCCACCGCUUGUGCGGGUCCCCGUCAAUUCCUUUGAGUUUUAAUCUUGCGACCGUACUCCCCAGGCGGACAACUCCACGCGUUAGCUGCGGUACUGAGAAAUCGCUUCCCUAACACCUAGUUGUCAUCGUUUAGGGCGUGGACUAC
rnacentral:misc_RNA from 1 species